CUUGUGAAGUAAGUAACUGAUCUCACAAGUUAAAGUGUGGUGACACUUAAAUGAACAUGUGGAUGUUUUGUUAUAGAACAAAAUAUUGGAGACCCGUCGAGAGAUUCCACAUGGAUAACUAUCUGAGUGUCGGUGGUUAAUCUCUAACGUUCGGUAGUGAAAUUGGUCCUUUGACUUGAGGUCGUCAUGGUACCUUAUAUGAGGACAGUCAUACUUUGGCGGUGUUGGAUGUUGCUCUGAAAAGGGCCGCUAAUACGACAUCGUUCGGGUACGUCAAGAAUCGUAUGAAGGUUGUGAUUGAUCAAUAAAGGAUUCGUCACUCUUAGAUAGUAGGAGAUUAUGAUCUGCGUUUCAUCCAAUUAAGUCAAUGAUCAAAUCCUUGGCCAAGGUGUACUCAUAAGUCGAAAAGGAGUUUUCGAUUUAUAUUGACUUAAUAGUGGAGUGAAAGAUAUGAUC
rnacentral:lncRNA from 1 species